GACGAACGCUGGCGGCGUGCCUAAUACAUGCAAGUUGAACGCUAAAGCUUUAACUGGUGCUUGCACCGACUUAAGUUUUUAGAGUAGCGGACGGGUGAGUAACACGUGGGUAACCUGCCCAUCAGAGGGGGAUAACACUUGGAAACAGGUGCUAAUACCGCAUAAUUCCUUUUACCGCAUGGUAAAAGGCUGAAAGGCGCUUCUGGUGUCACUGAUGGAUGGACCCGCGGUGCAUUAGCUAGUCGGUGGGGUAACGGCCUACCGAGGCGAUGAUGCAUAGCCGACCUGAGAGGGUGAUCGGCCACAUUGGGACUGAGACACGGCCCAAACUCCUACGGGAGGCAGCAGUAGGGAAUAUUGGACAAUGGGCGAAAGCCUGAUCCAGCAAUACCGCGUGAGUGAUGAAGGUCUUAGGAUUGUAAAGCUCUUUUAAUAGGGAAGAUAAUGACGUUACCUAUAGAAAAAGCCCCGGCUAACUUCGUGCCAGCAGCCGCAGUAACAC
rnacentral:rRNA from 1 species